rnacentral:rRNA from 1 species
UACGUAGGGUGCAAGCGUUAAUCGGAAUUACUGGGCGUAAAGCGUGCGCAGGCGGUUUUGUAAGUCUGUCGUGAAAUCCCCGGGCUCAACCUGGGAAUGGCGAUGGAGACUGCAAGGCUAGAGUUUGGCAGAGGGGGGUAGAAUUCCACGUGUAGCAGUGAAAUGCGUGGAUAUGUGGAGGAACACCAAUGGCGAAGGCAGCCUUCUGGGCCAACACUGACGCUCAUGCACGAAAGCGUGGGGAGCAAACAGG